GUUCAUCAGACUAGGUUUUUUUCUUUUUGGUAUCUUAGGAGAAAGAUUCAUCAGACUAUGAUUUCGAUCCUAGGAGAAGGUUCAUCAGACUAGGUCUCUAUCUUAGGAGAAAAAUUCGUCAGACUAAGAUUUUGAUCCUAGGAGAAGGCUCAUCGGACUAGGUCUUGUUUUUUGGUAUCUUAGGAGAAAGAUUCAUUAGACUAAGAUUUCGAUCCUAGGAGAAGGUUCAUCAGACUAGGUCUCUAUCUUAGGAGAAAAAUUCGUCAGACUAAGAUUUUGAUCCUAGGAGAAGGCUCAUCGGACUAGGUCUUGUUUUUUUUUUAAAUUAUUUUUAACAACCACUUAGGAGGAAAUGCAUCUCCUAUGGGUGGAACUAAAACGAACUUAGGAGGAAAUGCAUCUCCUAGGGGGUAAAACUUAAACUUAGGAGGAAAUGCGUCUCCUAUGGGUAAAACUUAAACUUAGGAGGAAAUGC
rnacentral:lncRNA from 1 species